UGAGGAAUAUUGGGCAAUGCCCGCAAGGGUGACCCAGCAACGCCGCGUGGAGGAUGAAUGUCGUAAGAUUGUAAACUCCUGUUAGAGGGGAAGAAUAGUACCGGUUGGACCGGUAUAUGACUGUACCCUCAGAGAAAGCCCCGGCUAACUACGUGCCAGCAGCCGCGGUAAUACGUAGGGGGCAAGCGUUGUCCGGAUUUACUGGGUGUAAAGGGCGCGCAGGCGGGAUAAAAAGUCAGUGGUGAAAUCCUACAGCUUAACUGUAGAACUGCCUUUGAUACUUUUAUUCUUGAGUUCGGGAGAGAGAGACGGAAUUCCAGGUGUAGUGGUGAAAUACGUAGAUAUCUGGAAGAACACCAGUUGCGAAGGCGGUCUCUUGGUCCGACACUGACGCUGAGGCGUGAAAGCGUGGGGAGCAAACA
rnacentral:rRNA from 1 species